rnacentral:rRNA from 1 species
CCUACGGGAGGCAGCAGUGAGGAAUAUUGGUCAAUGGGCGCGAGCCUGAACCAGCCAAGUAGCGUGAAGGAUGACUGCCCUACGGGUUGUACACUUCUUUUAUAAAGGAUUAAAGUGAGGCACGUGUGCCUUUUUGUAUGUACUUUAUGACUAAGGCUCGGCUAACUCCGUGCCAGCAGCCGCGGUAAUACCGGGGAUCCGAGCGUUUACCGGAUUUGUUGGGUUUAAAAGGCGCGUAGAUGGGUUGUUAAGUCAGUUGUGAAAGUUUGCGGCUCAACCGUAAAAUUGCAAUUGAUACUGGCAGUCUUGAGUACAGUUGAGGUAGGCGGAAUUCGUGGUGUAGCGGUGAAAUGCUUAGAUAUCACGAAGAACUCCGAUUGCGAAGGCAGCUUACUAAACUGCCACUGACAUUGAUGCUCGAAAGUGUGGGUAUCAAACAGGAUUAGAUACCCUGGUAGUC